UACGUAGGUGGCGAGCGUUGUCCGGAUUUACUGGGCGUAAAGGGCGUGCAGGCGGUUUGUUAAGUGCAGGGUGAAAGCUCCCGGCUCAACUGGGAGAGGUCCUUGCAUACUGGCGAACUCGAGGGAGGCAGAGGAAAGUGGAAUUCCCGGUGGUAGUGGUGAUAUGCGUAGAUAUCGGGAGGAACACCAGUGGCGAAGGCGGCUUCCUGGCCUGUUCUUGACGCUGAGGCGCGAAAGCUAGGGGAGCAAACGGG
rnacentral:rRNA from 1 species